rnacentral:rRNA from 1 species
UACGUAGGGGGCUAGCGUUGUCCGGAAUCAUUGGGCGUAAAGAGCGCGUAGGCGGCCAGAUAAGUCCGGUGUGAAAGUCAAAGGCUCAACCUUUGAAUGCCGCUGGAAACUGUCUGGCUAGAGUCCGGGAGGGGCGAGUGGAAUUCCUGGUGUAGCGGUGAAAUGCGCAGAUAUCAGGAGGAACACCGGUGGCGAAGGCGGGUCUCUGGGCAGUAACUGACGCUGAGGAGCGAAAGCGUGGGGAGCGAACAGG